rnacentral:lncRNA from 1 species
GGAAACUUUAGAUGAGAGGAGAUUAGAGGCGCAAAUGUAACUGGAAUGCUAUCAAGUUUGGAUAGCAAAGUCGUUUAGCUAAAAGGGCAACCAAAAUCAUUUCAAGUUGGAGAUGUCAUACUUUUUGCACGUUUAUGCCAACCAUAAUUAAGAGAAAAAUAGGGUCAAGUUCCAACUUAAAUGGGAUGAUCCAUUUCUUGUUACUCGUACAUUUACCAAUCAAGCAUACAAGAUCGUCGACAAAAAUGAACUGCAAAUUAGACCUAGCAACGGGAAAUUCUUAAAGUGUUUUUACACUUGAAUCCCUUUAUUUUGUAAAAUUUUCAUUGUAAUAAAAUGUAGUACUCCUAGCUAGUAAGAAGAUAAAAUGUAAACUACCCUAAAUAAACAAAAAAAAAUUAU